GCCAGGCGUGGUGGCACACACCUGUAGUUCCAGCUACUUGGGAGGCUGAGGUAGGAGGAUCGCUUGAGCCCAGGAGGUUGAGGCUGCAGUGAGCUAUGAUUGUGCCACUGCACUCCAGCCUGGGCAACAGAGCAAGACCCCGCCUCAA
rfam:Pan troglodytes isolate Yerkes chimp pedigree #C0471 (Clint) chromosome 7, whole genome shotgun sequence.